CUGCUCUAGAGUGUGCAGUGUCAGAUACACUGCCAGUGUGGAGACAGGGACCAGAUGACGCUGCUCGCUGUGAUGAGGUAAGUAAGGUCGCCGCAAGGGGUGCGGGGGCAGGGGACCUGACAGUGUCAGUGAAUGUGUGAGUGUGUGUAUGUCAGUGAGUGCAUGUGUCUCUGAGAGUGUGUUUGUGUCAGCGUGUCUCUGUCAGUGAACAUGUGUGUUAAACAGUGUGUGAGACAAUGACUGUCAGUGAGGGCAUGUUGUUCCCCCACACUGUCACCUUCCUAUACACCGCCCUGCUGUACUGUCACCUUCCUACACACUGCCCCCCCAUACUAUCACAUUCCUACACACUGUCCCUCCCCUUCCAGGCCACAGGUAAGAGGCAGGGAGGAUGGUUAAGCCCAAUUUAUAUUAAACGGCUCACUUCCCAGCACUUAUCCAACACUACAUGCACAUCCACUACACAGACACUGCAUCCACUAGACAUACUGCAUCCACCACACAAACACUACAGUAGUUCCACUACACAAACACAGACACUGCAUACACUACAUACACACACAAUGUAUUCAAUACAUACACUGCAUACAAUACAAAUUACAUCCAUGACAUGGAAGAAGUGGGGAGAAAAGACAUGAAAGGGAGGGGAACAGAGACAUGGAUGGUGGGGGGGGUGGGGCAAAAAAACAUGGAUUCUUCAAUCCAUGGGGUAGAUGCGAGCUGAAUGGACAGUGUUGCUAAUUGGCCAUCUAGCCGGCGGCCCGGACCAUGCAGCACUAGGCGCUGUUCCAUAAAGCAGCGACCACACAUGAGGAGAAAUGCCUGCCGAGAGCAGCAACCAACAUACAGAACUUCUGAGUCUCCCCAAGGAAAAGCUUGGUUACUGUGAGUGCCCGGGCUCGGAAUAGAAUGGUCGGCCCGCAAGAUCGCAACACAAGAGAAGCGCUCUGUGGUCAUACUGCCAGACCCUUUUACAGGAACUCUACCUUUUACCUAAGGGAAUUGGCUGAUUCUUGCUACAAUCCUGAUACAUGCAUCACCAUCUCCUCAACCAAAAACAGAUGUAUACCUGCCUCUUUUUUGAUUUUAUUCAUGUUGUUUUGUUUUCAUCUUUUAAUUUAAUAGUUUGGGGUAUGGUGACAUUGUGGCAAACCCUGCCACUAUAACUGACUAUUCUGUGCGAAUGAAAGACUUUUCACCAAGGGAAUAACUCACCGAAUAGACUUUCGUGUUAUAUUGCUGUUUUAGACGAAUGGCCGAAACUACCGAACGUGAGACCACCCCGGGGUGGUCGUGUGUUGCUAAUUAACAGACCGAUACAAUGUUGCGAGGGAAUUAAGUGCCUGUAUGUGUGGCCGCCAUUUCGCAUACUGAACACGUGUCGGCGGCCAUCUUACGCAUGAACAGCGGUACUUGGUUGUCGAAUGCCUGGAACUCAAACCGGGCAUUCGACUAACCAAGUACCGCUGAGACCUCCAGCAUGCUAAGACAGCACGAAUCAAACCCACGAACGCCCCGACGUUCGGUAGAUAGAUUCCCCUAAACGAGGGGAUUCGUGCAAAGGCUGGCAAUCGCAUGGAUGGCUAUGUCAUUCGGUAUUUUUAAUUCACUGAAAUAGACCGACCGCAGGGCCAGAAUUCAUGGAACUGUUUUCGGCUACUGAGUCCCUGCGGUCGGUCAAAUCUUUAACUGUCUGUAACUCCCGAACCCCUGGUCCGAUCUGGGUGAAUUUCGAGUAUGUUGCUCACCCAGAUCAGACCUACCAGGGGACCCCUUAUUUGUCCCUGUACCCCCUGUAUUAAGGGGACAUCCAGAAAGUGGGGAAAACUUUGUCUUCACUAAUUUGUUUAAGGGCUAAUCUAAGGGGAGGAGAGUGAGGGGAGGUGAACGGGUUACAAUUGGCUACUGUAAUAAUUAUGAAAGUUACCUCCCUUGCAUGGGAGAAAUGCAUAAAAACAGACCUGUGAUUAAAGCUGACAGUUGACUCCCAGACUAUGUGUCGUCUAGUCCUUGGGGAGGUGGAUUAUGCUGUGUUCCUGUGAUUUUGUAUGCUGAAUCUUUGUUCCCAGCGGAGAGCCUUUGGAUUAACCCCUGCUCCUCCACUACAAUUGGUGGCAAGCGACGGGAUUCAAACCUCACAGCAGACCGUUGUUCGGCAGUUACAGCCAUUCGUGGAAAUGUACUAUUCGUAUGGAAACGAAAGGAAAGGGUAUGUGAAUAUACCCGAACGGAUAGUGAAUGGGGAAAGAUUAUACCAGCUUGAAACGGGCCACUCUAAAAGAGCUAUUGGAAGCAAAGGGAAUUAUUGCCAGCAAUAAAGCCAAAGCUACCCUUAUUGCUGAACUCAUGGAGGGAGACCGGGUAGCUGCUGCAGCACCUCUUAUGGACAGCACACAAACUGAAUUUGGAAGGGAACUCCAAAGCAGACUAGCCUUUUUCCCAGAUACACCUCCCAUAGACACCUUGGAAAGGAUUAUGGCAGAUGUUCACCAAUAUAUUAUGGCAAAGCAGCAGGCAGACUGGAGGUCCAGAGAGGGGUCCCCAACACCACCACACAUAGUACAAGGAAAGCCUAAAAUUCCGUACCAUGCUUUUAAAAGUUAUGUGGAAACCGAGGACAUUGAUGGCUACCUGCAUGACUUUGAGAAGUUAUGCCAGCUACAUGAGAUUGACGCUGCUGACCAGGUACCCCUGCUGGUGGGCAAGCUAGCAGGCCGGGCAGCAGAAGCCUACCGCACCAUGCCAGAUGAGGACAGCAGGGAUUACCAGAAAGUAAGGCAGGCGAUCCUGACCAGGUAUGCCAUCACCCCAGAGGCGUACCGGCAGCGGUUCAGAGACAGCCGGAAGACGGAGAGAGACACCCACAUGGAGUGGGCACACCGCUUAACUAGGGUGGGCAAAGGAUGGGUACAAGCAGCGCAAGCAACCACAGUGGAGGAUAUGCUCCAGUUACUGCUGCUAGAACAAUUCUUCCAGGGAUUAACCUCGGAUUUACAAAACUGGCUGCGAGACCGGAAGCCACGCACCUUAACCGAUGCAGCCAGGUUAGCAGAUGAAUAUCAAGAUGCCAGAAGGGCACAGCGGACACAGUCACGGCCCACCGCGGGUACUGCUACCGCACCUCCCACUGUUACCCCCACCCCAUCACUGCGUCCGGGCGGGGGGAACUACCAAACCCCUCCCCGGUACAACAAUGCCCGCUCGUUCAUCAGGUGCCACACAUGUAACCAGCAGGGCCACAUACAGAGAGACUGUCCCAGGAACAAAAGCCGCCCCACGUGGAAUACACCAACCAACUCCCCUGCACACUGGGCAGCGGUACACUGCUACCAGAGUGAGCCCCGACAAACCCACCUCUGGGCUGGGUCCAAUGAAGAACCGUUGGGCACGCUCCAUGAGGUCAACCCCAUACAAGCGGCUGCAGACAACCGGCAGGGACACCGCCAAGGGGUGCACGUAGAGGGAAAGCGCUUACAGGGUCUGCGCGACUCUGGGGCCACUAUAACUCUGGUGCGCAAUCACCUAGUUCCCAAGAACCAGCUAACUGGAGAAUAUGUGGCCGUUCGGGUGGCAGGGGGAGCUAUUUACAAAAUUCCUACUGCCAAGGUACAUUUGGAUUGGGGAGCGGGGUCAGGGAAUGUGGAAGUGGGCCUCAUGCAGGAUCUACCCGCUGAUGUCAUCCUGGGCAACGACUUGGGGGAGCUGACCUCCGCUUUUGUUUCUCAGCACCCAGCGCAGGAAGCACUACCCAUGGUAACACGGCAGCAAGCUCGCACUACCGCAUCGUCGGAACACUCUGAGGCUCAGGUAAGCAACAGUCCUACCCCCCUUUUGUCCCCUGGGCUCCCCCCUUAGAAUUUGGCACUGAAGUAGUCACCGACCUGUCUUUGCAGGUAUACCGGGAUAGGGUUACGGAGAAUCAGGCGGGAUUAGAGGGGGAGAGAUAUGCUUGGGAGAAAGGAUUACUGUACCGGCACGCCGAGAAGGUAGUAGCAGGAUCUGUACCCAUGACCCUCAUGCAAUUAGUAGUACCCAAAAAGUACAGACAGGAGUUAUUGCGCAUUGCCCACGACAUCCCAUUGUCCGGGCACCUAAGCGUCAGUAGGACGAAACACUGUUUGACCCAAAACUUCUUUUGGCCAGGGGUGUCUAAAGAUAUCCGGCAGUAUUGCCAAACUUGCGAUACGUGCCAGAGGGUAGGGAAGAGAGGGGACCGUUACAAGGCAAAAAUGCACUCCCUUCCCAUAAUAGAGGAGCCCUUUAGUAGAGUGGCAGUUGACAUAAUUGGACCCCUAGCGAAACCCAGUCCGUCUGGGAAAAAGUAUAUCCUAACCGUAGUAGAUUACGCUACCCGGUACCCAGAGGCAGUGGCCCUAAGUAAUAUCCAUGCCGAAACUAUAGUGGAUGCCCUGAUCCGGAUAUUCUCCCGAAUGGGGUUUCCUAAGGAGAUUAUCUCAGAUCGGGGUACCCAAUUCACGGCUGAAGUCACUCACCAGUUAUGGAGAACAUGUGGGGUGAAACCUAUUGUAAACUCAGCGUAUCACCCUCAGUCCAAUGGGCUCUGUGAACGUUUCAACGGAACAUUAAAGCAAAUGCUCCGUACGUUCAUGGAUACCCAGAAGGACUGGGAAAGGUUUCUUCCCCAUCUGCUCUUCGCUUACCGAGAGGUACCCCAGGAGUCCACAGGGUUCUCGCCAUUCGAAUUACUAUUCGGAAGGAGAGUGCGGGGUCCCUUGGACCUCAUUAGGGAACACUGGGAAGGGACUGUCACGAGUAAUGGUACCCCUAUCGUCCCAUAUGUGCUAGAAUUCAGGGAGCGCUUGGAGACCCUAAUCCAGACGGUACGGUCUAAUCUCCAGGCGGCCCAACAACGACAGCGCAGAUGGUACAAUAGGGGAGCCAGGGACCGCAGUUUUCAAAUAGGGCAAAAGGUGCUAAUCCUAAAACUGGUCCAAAAUGACAAACUGCAGGCCUCAUGGCAGGGCCCUUAUAAAGUGGUUGAACAGGUAUGUGACACCACUUAUAUAAUUGCCCCAUGUACGGGAGCGGGCAGUAGGCGCAUGCUCCACGUUAACAUGUUAAAGCCGUACCACGAGCGGACAGAGGAAGUAACUGCCAUAUGUGCUUCAGCAGCCGAGGACCCAGACAAGGUGCUAGAAAAAGGUGGCCUGACACAGAAUUAGGGGAAGUACAGCUAGGAGACAGGCUGAGUAAUAGAGAGCGAGCUCAAAUACUAGAGCUGAUCCGAGAGAAAGGGGAUACAUUUUCCAAUCGGCCCGGAUAUACCCCCCUGGCUACCCACAGGGUAGAAACCCCAGGGCAACACCCUCUUCGGCAAACUCCUUACCGCAUACCCGAAUCUGUGAAAGAUCAUAUGCGGAAGGAGAUUGAUGAAAUGCUACAGCUAGGAGUGAUAGAACACUCAGAUAGCCCAUGGGCCUCUCCGGUAGUACUGGUACCGAAGCAGGACGGAAUCACCCGCUUCUGCAUCGACUACCGGAAACUUAACGAUAAAACGAUCUCUGAUGCCUACCCUAUGCCUAGAAUCGAUGAGCUCCUAGAUACAAUGGCCCGGGGCCAGUAUCUCACCACAAUAGACUUGUGCAAAGGAUACUGGCAGAUCCCACUAGCCGAGGAUGCCAUCCCAAAGUCCGCAUUCGUCACUCCGUUUGGGCUAUACCAAUUUAAGGUAAUGCCAUUCGGAAUGAAGAAUGCGCCGGCUACCUUUCAGCGGAUGGUAGAUCGGCUACUGGACGGGUCCCAGGAGUACGCUUGCGCCUAUUUAGACGAUAUAGCAAUCUUUAGUAACUCCUGGGACGAACAUUUAACUCAUAUAGGAGCCAUCCUCGACCGCAUUAGGGAGGCAGGUCUCACGUUGAAACCCAGCAAGUGCCAUGUAGGGAUGGCGGAGGUGCAGUACUUGGGCCACCGGGUGGGCAGUGGGCAACAAAAGCCAGAACCUGCUAAGAUAGAGGCCGUUGCUAAGUGGCCGACCCCUCGCACGAAAACCCAAGUUUUAGCUUUCCUAGGGACCGCCGGUUACUACCGUAAAUUUGUACCCAGUUAUAGCACCCUAGCAAAGCCCCUCACUGAUCUCACCAAGAAGAACCUGCCCAAAGUAGUUACCUGGAGCCCAGAGUGGGAGAAAGCAUUCCAAGAACUGAAAACUGCCCUGAUUCAUGCAACUGUACUUGCCGCUCCCGAUCCAACUAAACGCUUUCUCGUUCAUACAGACACUUCUAUGUUUGGAUUGGGAGCAGUGCUGAGCCAGGUCGGGGCCGAUGGUGGCGAACAUCCCAUCGCUUACUUAAGUCAGAAAUUACUACCCAGGGAAGUAAGCUAUGCCGCCAUCGAGAAGGAAUGCCUGGCGGUAGUGUGGGCCCUCAAGAAACUCCAGCCCUACUUAUAUGGACAACAAUUUGCCUUGCUCACAGAUCACAACCCGUUGGUGUGGCUAAACCGGUUGUCAGGGGACAAUGCUAGACUGCUGCGAUGGAGCUUGGCGCUGCAGCCCUUUGAUUUCACCAUCCAGCACCGCCCGGGAAAACAAAAUGGUAAUGCCGACAGGUUGUCCCGACAGACAGAACUGGAAAAAUUAUCUGUGAGCACUCUCCGUUGGGAUCAGACUGUGUAUGCUGGCUUGGUUCUGGGGGAGCAUUGUGGCAAACCCUGCCACUAUAACUGACUAUUCUGUGCGAAUGAAAGACUUUUCACCAAGGGAAUAACUCACCGAAUAGACUUUCGUGUUAUAUUGCUGUUUUAGACGAAUGGCCGAAACUACCGAACGUGAGACCACCCCGGGGUGGUCGUGUGUUGCUAAUUAACAGACCGAUACAAUGUUGCGAGGGAAUUAAGUGCCUGCAUGUGUGGCCGCCAUUUCGCAUACCGAACACGUGUCGGCGGCCAUCUUACGCACGAACAGCGGUACUUGGUUGUUGAACGCCUGGAACUUAAACCGGGCAUUCGACUAACCAAGUACCGCUGAGACCUCCAGCAUGCUCCGACAGCACGAAUCAAACCCACGAACGCCCCGGCGUUCGGUAAAUAGAUUCCCCUAAACGAGGGGAUUCGUGCAAAGGCUGGCAAUCGCAUGGAUGGCUAUGUCAUUCGGUAUUUUUAAUUCACUGAAAUAGACCGACCGCAGGGCCAGAAUUCAUGGAACUGUUUUCGGCUACUGAGUCCCUGCGGUCGGUCAAAACUGUAACUGUCUGUAACUCCCGAACCCCUGGUCCGAUCUGGGUGAAUUUCGAGUAUGUUGCUCACCCAGAUCAGACCUACCAGGGGACCCCUUAUUUGUCCCUGUACCCCCUGUAUUUAGGGGACAUCCAGAAAGUGGGGGAAACUUUGUCUUCACUAAUUUGUUUAAGGGCUAAUCUAAGGGGAGGAGAGUGAGUGGAGGUGACCGGGUUACAAUUGGCUACUGUAAUAAUUAUGAAAGUUACCUCCCUUGCAUGGGAGAAAUGCAUAAAAACAGACCUGUGAUUAAAGCUGACAGUUGACUCCCAGACUAUGUGUCGUCUAGUCCUUGGGGAGGUCGAUUAUGCUGUGUUCCUGUGAUUUUGUAUGCUGAAUCUUUGUUCCCAGCGGAGAGCCUUUGGAUUAACCCCUGCUCCUCCACUACAAUUGGUGGCAACGACGGGAUUCAAACCUCACAGCAGACCGUUGUUCGGCAGUUACAGCCAUUCGUGGAAAUGUACUAUUCGUAUGGAAACGAAAGGAAAGGGUAUGUGAAUAUACCCGAACGGAUAGUGAAUGGGGAAAGAUUAACCCCUACUUAACCCCUGCUCCUACGGUACUUAACCCCUGCUCCUCCGCUACAGACAGUGCUAGAAUUAACCCCAGAGGUUCUACUCUACGGCCACUUCUAUGGCAUUUAAUAGUGUAUUACAGGCUAGAAUAUCCCACACUGCUUGUGGUACACUAGAUGCAGCUGUAUUGCUCAAAUAAUAAGCUUUAACACGUAUGCUUACAUGCUAUGACAGUGUCUGUUAACCCAGUGGUAUCUAUUUAUUUGGUACUGUUAUGAAGGCUGGUAUGUCAGAUAUCCAUUCAUAUUCGAUUCCUCCCGAACUGCUAAGAGCUAAGUGAUUAUAACUUGCAGUUCGGGUAUCAAGACGAAUAGUCUCCAGCUAGAAUGCAGCAUACAAGACGUAUUACCCAGCAGUCAGGCAUAUACCCAAACAUCAGCCUGAACUAGAAGAAGGGUACAACAGCAAUGGUUUAUUCAGGCCAACCGAAUGGCUUUUUAUGCAAGUCCUCAUGAAUGGGGUUUACAAUAACAUAUUCCAGUGGCAUUCCCCACUGGAGCUGAGGGGGCACAGGGACAAAGUACAUACUGUAGAUACAUUGGCUCUCAGGUCCAGGACACAUAGAAUACAAUAAACCUUUCCCUUUACUUAAUAGCUAAUUGAGUCAAGCAUUGUACUAAACUCAAUUAUCUCCAAACACAAAAAAACACAUAUUUUCACAAAACCCCGAAAGUACUUUAAACCCCUGGGAAACCCCACAAAAGUCAUAUCUGCUGAUAGCCCCGAUCUGGGGGCUAAUAUAUCCCAAAAUCACCCAGAUCGUUUCAGGGGUUCGGGAUUUCCAUGGAAGUGUUAAUUUGACCUCUUUCGGGAAGUCUAAAAACUGAACAAGUCCACAAACCUUUCCCCUGGUUCAUAAGUAGCUUUUUGUGGCGAAAGUGACCUCGCCACUGGGUUUUGGAGGAAGAGGAGAUGUGGAGACAACUGGCCUCUCUCCCCAGCAGCAAAGCAUCCUACAGGGAGAGGAGGCAACCGGUCUCCCUCCCAAGUGCCAGUGUAUCCUGCAGGGAGGGAGAAAAUCUCACUCCCCAACAGCAGUCUGUGUUACAGGGAGGCGAGACAACCAAUCUCACUCCCCAGUGGCAGUGUACUUUGCAGGGAGAGGAGAUAACUGGUCUCUCUCCCCAGCGGCAGACAGAGUCACAGGGAGAGGAGAGCAUCAUCCUCCCUCCCAAGCGGCAGUUUACCUUGCAGGGAGAGGAGAAAACCGGUCUCUCCCUCCAGCGACAGUGUAUCCUGCAGGGAAGGGAGACGACCGGUCUCACUCCUCAAUGGCAGGGUGAGUUUCAGGAAGAGGAGACAACCGGUCUCUCUCCCCAUCGGCAGUGUAUACUGCAGGGAGGGGAGACAACCGGUCUCACUCCCCAGCGGCAGGGUGAGUUUCACGGAGAGUAGACAAAUGGCACUUAAUUCACAGUUUCCUUUGAUGUUAAUGAGCCAGCGGGGUGGUCGUGUUCGGUAGUUUUAACUAACGAACAGGGAAAAUAACUACAUGAUCAAGCUUGUUGUUAUUUUUAAUUUUAUUUUCCCGACUUAUACUAACUAUCACAAAUGAAGUCAGACAUUUCAGCUAGUUAACCAUAUUAAAGUUAACCAUAUUAUGAUUGCGAUAUGAUUCUCAUUUCCUGUUACUCUAUAGUCAUUCACGAUCCAUUUACUCUUAGUGCAUAUAAUCUAUCUUACUCACAAGACAGCGACUACUUCAAAAUGCGCUAUACCUCUCUUGUCUUACAUCUCAUAAAAAAAAAUAUGUGCUGAUGUUUAUGUACACUUACUAUGUGUGGUUUAAGCUAUUAUUAUAUAAUUAUAUAUAAAAAAAAUUAUAACAACUAAAUAGCAUGUGUUCGUUUCUGUUUAGUAAAAGCAGCUCACUGACGAUUACAGUGACUGAACUAAAUGGUCUAAGACAGAGACUUAAUUGUGGAUGCAUUCAACAUUGUUUUUCAGACAAUGUCCUAUGUAUGGAGACAAGUGGCACUUUGAGUUUUAGUGGCUACAAACUAUGAAAGGCAGUAUUGACCAUUGUAUUGAAUUUACACUUUAAACAUAUGGAAAAAAAUAGUACACUGAUCAGUGGAUGGGAGAUUAUAAUAUUGAUGACAUUUUCCAAACCCACCACACAAAAAAGAGGCACAGGCUCUAACAGAUAGGACCCAAGACAUGAAAAUAGUAAUACAGUAAUUUAAAAAAUCUUUCGGACUAGAAUGAAAUACUGUAUUUCCUUACACUUUACGUUGGGUGUCUUAGAUGCCGUUCACUGACAAGUUGUUUUUUUAACAGAUAAAGUUUGGCAAUAUAUCUCCAGAUAGAUAUAUAGAUGGAUAAAUCAAAAUCUGUUUAAACAGCAAUAUCAUAGAUCGAGCCGAUCAUAGUCUUAAUUAAAUGAAAUUAAAAUCUGUAUAAGUUUACACUCUCCUAUUGCACUUUCUUUGAGAUGUAUCUACAUAAAAAGACAUGUAAUAUACAUUUGUAAUCCCCCAGGAAUGAAAUAUUUGGGUUAGGGUUUUGGGUUUUGUUCAUGUGGUUUUUCACUGCAGACAAAUUUCUUCCACCCAACAGAAUAUUUUGCAGUACGCAUUUUGUUCACAGAUCAAGUGAGAAGAAGUAACCAACAGAGGGAAAAAGAGAAGCAAAACAAUAUAUAUCUAUAUUUAUAUAUUAUAGCAAUACUUGUAAUAUAUAUUAUAAUAAAUAAAUAUAUUUUUUACUGCUAGGUCCAACAGAUACCUGGGGCUUGAGCCUAAAGCAAAACUUGUUGAAUACACCAAAUUCAUCCACUGUCCACGAGGAGCACUGACUGAGAACACGUGCAGCACUCUGCAGCCUGAUCUGACAGUGUUG